GUCCGCGUAGCUCAGUGGUAGAGCAUUGUACUUAUGAGGUUGCCUUCUUCCCCGGCGCAUGUAAUGCAAGGGUCUCCAGUUCAAUCCUGGGCGUGGACA